GCCUUCGUGGUGUAAAGGUAGAACACUCGGCGCGUAUUCGAGAGGUCUAGGUUCGAAUCCUGGGGAGGGCA
rnacentral:tRNA from 1 species